rnacentral:misc_RNA from 1 species
GCAAACUUGGUCAUUUAGAGGAAGUAAAAGUCGUAACAAGGUUUCCGUAGGUGAACCUGCGGAAGGAUCAUUAUUGAAUUGAACGGGGGCGCUUGGUUGGGCCUGCACCGGCGGAGACGCCGUGCUGCGGUCUGCCUCGCGCCCUCUUCCAAACUCAAACCCCUGUGAACCUUUGGGAGGGAUGCGCCGAGUCCGGAGCGCCCUCCCGUUUUACAACCAACUCUGAUGUCUAUUUGAAUGUGAGAUUCGGGGCAGCCCCGAUGUCUAAUCGAAAACAACUUUCAACAACGGAUCUCUUGGCUCUCGCAUCGAUGAAGAACGCAGC